rnacentral:rRNA from 1 species
GACGAACGCUGGCGGCGUGCUUAACACAUGCAAGUCGAACGGAAAGGCUCCAGCUUGCUGGCUUGCUCGAGUGGCGAACGGGUGAGUAACACGUGGGCAAUCUGCCCUGCACUCUGGGAUAAGCCUGGGAAACUGGGUCUAAUACCGGAUAGGACCUUUCUCCUCAUGGGGUUUGGUGGAAAGUUUUUCGGUGCAGGAUGAGCGCGCGGCCUAUCAGCUUGUUGGUGGGGUAAUGGCCUACCAAGGCGACGACGGGUAGCCGGCCUGAGAGGGUGAUCGGCCACAUUGGGACUGAGAUACGGCCCAGACUCCUACGGGAGGCAGCAGUGGGGAAUAUUGCACAAUGGGCGAAAGCCUGAUGCAGCGACGCCGCGUGAGGGAUGACGGCCUUCGGGUUGUAAACCUCUUUCAGUAGGGACGAAGCGCAAGUGACGGUACCUGAAGAAGAAGCACCGGCUAACUACGUG